rnacentral:rRNA from 1 species
UAGGUUAACGAGGCGAACCGGGGGAACUGAAACAUCUAAGUACCCCGAGGAAAAGAAAUCAACCGAGAUUCCCCCAGUAGCGGCGAGCGAACGGGGAGCAGCCCGGAGUCUGAAUCAGCUUGUGUGUUAGUGGAACGGUCUGGAAAGUCCGACGGUACAGGGUGAUAGUCCCGUACACGAAAACACACUUGCUGUGAACUCGAAGAGUAGGGCGGGACACGUGGUAUCCUGUCUGAAUAUGGGGGGACCAUCCUCCAAGGCUAAAUACUCCUGACUGACCGAUAGUGAACCAGUACCGUGAGGGAAAGGCGAAAAGAACCCCGGCGAGGGGAGUGAAAAAGAACCUGAAACCGUGUACGUACAAGCAGUGGGAGCACCUUCGGGUGUGACUGCGUACCUUUUGUAUAAUGGGUCAGCGACUUAUAUUCUGUAGCAAGGUUAACCGUAUAGGGGAGCCGAAGGGAAACCGAGUCUUAACUGGGCGUUAAGUUGCAGGGUAUAGACCCGAAACCCGGUGAUCUAGCCAUGGGCAGGUUGAAGGUUGGGUAACACUAACUGGAGGACCGAACCGACUAAUGUUGAAAAAUUAGCGGAUGACCUGUGGCUGGGGGUGAAAGGCCAAUCAAACCGGGAGAUAGCUGGUUCUCCCCGAAAGCUAUUUAGGUAGCGCCUCGUGAACUCAUCUUCGGGGGUAGAGCACUGUUUCGGCUAGGGGGCCAUCCCGGCUUACCAACCCGAUGCAAACUACGAAUACCGAAGAAUGUUAUCACGGGAGACACACGGCGGGUGCUAACGUCCGUCGUGAAGAGGGAAACAACCCAGACCGCCAGCUAAGGUCCCAAAGUCAUGGUUAAGUGGGAAACGAUGUGGGAAGGCACAGACAGCCAGGAUGUUGGCUUAGAAGCAGCCAUCAUUUAAAGAAAGCGUAAUAGCUCACUGGUCGAGUCGGCCUGCGCGGAAGAUGUAACGGGGCUAAACCAUGCACCGAAGCUGCGGCAGCGACACUAUGUGUUGUUGGGUAGGGGAGCGUUCUGUAAGCCGUUGAAGGUGUGCUGUGAGGCAUGCUGGAGGUAUCAGAAGUGCGAAUGCUGACAUAAGUAACGAUAAAGCGGGUGAAAAGCCCGCUCGCCGGAAGACCAAGGGUUCCUGUCCAACGUUAAUCGGGGCAGGGUGAGUCGACCCCUAAGGCGAGGCCGAAAGGCGUAGUCGAUGGGAAACAGGUUAAUAUUCCUGUACUUGGUGUUACUGCGAAGGGGGGACGGAGAAGGCUAUGUCAGCCGGGCGACGGUUGUCCCGGUUUAAGCAUGUAGGCGGAGGUUCCAGGUAAAUCCGGUACCUUAUUAACGCUGAGGUGUGAUGACGAGGCACUACGGUGCUGAAGUGAUAAAUGCCCUGCUUCCAGGAAAAGCCUCUAAGCAUCAGGUAACACGAAAUCGUACCCCAAACCGACACAGGUGGUCAGGUAGAGAAUACCAAGGCGCUUGAGAGAACUCGGGUGAAGGAACUAGGCAAAAUGGUGCCGUAACU